UUAAGUGACUAAGCGUACACGGUGGAUGCCUAGGCAGUCAGAGGCGAUGAAGGACGUGCUAAUCUGCGAUAAGCGUCGGUGAGCUGAUAUGAAGCAUUAUUAGCCGGCGAUGUCCGAAUGGGGAAACCCAGUGCAAUUCGUUGCACUAUCGUUAAGUGAAUCCAUAGCUUAACGAGGCGAACCAGGGGAACUGAAACAUCUAAGUACCCUGAGGAAAAGAAAUCAACCGAGAUUCCCCUAGUAGCGGCGAGCGAACGGGGAGCAGCCCAGAACCUGAAUCAGUUUGUGCAUUAGUGGAAGCGUCUGGAAAGUCGCGCGAUACCGGGUGAUAGCCCCGUACACGAAGGUGCACAGCUGUGAGUUCGAUGAGUAGGGCGGGACACGUGUUAUCCUGUCUGAAUAUGGGGGGACCAUCCUCCAAGGCUAAAUACUCCUGACUGACCGAUAGUGAACCAGUACCGUGAGGGAAAGGCGAAAAGAACCCCGGCGAGGGGAGUGAAAUAGAACCUGAAACCGUGUACGUACAAGCAGUGGGAGCACCCUUUGGGGUGUGACUGCGUACCUUUUGUAUAAUGGGUCAGCGACUUAUAUUUUGUAGCAAGGUUAACCGAAUAGGGGAGCCGUAGGGAAACCGAGUCUUAACUGGGCGUUGAGUUGCAAGGUAUAGACCCGAAACCCGGUGAUCUAGCCAUGGGCAGGUUGAAGGUUGGGUAACACUAACUGGAGGACCGAACCGACUAAUGUUGAAAAAUUAGCGGAUGACUUGUGGCUGGGGGUGAAAGGCCAAUCAAACCGGGAGAUAGCUGGUUCUCCCCGAAAGCUAUUUAGGUAGCGCCUCGUGAACUCAUCUUCGGGGGUAGAGCACUGUUUCGGCUAGGGGGUCAUCCCGACUUACCAACCCGAUGCAAACUGCGAAUACCGAAGAAUGUUAUCACGGGAGACACACGGCGGGUGCUAACGUCCGUCGUGAAGAGGGAAACAACCCAGACCGCCAGCUAAGGUCCCAAAGUCAUGGUUAAGUGGGAAACGAUGUGGGAAGGCAUAGACAGCCAGGAUGUUGGCUUAGAAGCAGCCAUCAUUUAAAGAAAGCGUAAUAGCUCACUGGUCGAGUCGGCCUGCGCGGAAGAUGUAACGGGGCUAAACCAUGCACCGAAGCUGCGGCAGCGACACUAUGUGUUGUUGGGUAGGGGAGCGUUCUGUAAGCCUGUGAAGGUGACCUGUGAGGGUUGCUGGAGGUAUCAGAAGUGCGAAUGCUGACAUAAGUAACGAUAAAGCGGGUGAAAAGCCCGCUCGCCGGAAGACCAAGGGUUCCUGUCCAACGUUAAUCGGGGCAGGGUAAGUCGACCCCUAAGGCGAGGCCGAAAGGCGUAGUCGAUGGGAAACAGGUUAAUAUUCCUGUACUUGGUGUUAUUGCGAAGGGGGGACGGAGAAGGCUAGGCCGGCCGGGCGACGGUUGUCCCGGUUUAAGCGUGUAGGUGUGAUGACCUGGCAAAUCCGGUCAUCUUCAACACUGAGGCGUGAUGACGAGGCACUACGGUGCUGAAGUGGUUGAUGCCCUGCUUCCAGGAAAAGCCUCUAAGCUCUAGAUAACACUGAAUCGUACCCCAAACCGACACAGGUGGUCAGGUAGAGAAUACCAAGGCGCUUGAGAGAACUCGGGUGAAGGAACUAGGCAAAAUGGUGCCGUAACUUCGGGAGAAGGCACGCUGGCAUGUAGGUGAAGUCCCUCGCGGAUGGAGCUGAAGCCAGUCGAAGAUACCAGCUGGCUGCAACUGUUUAAUAAAAACACAGCACUCUGCAAACACGAAAGUGGACGUAUAGGGUGUGACGCCUGCCCGGUGCUGGAAGGUUAAUUGAUGGGGUCAGCCGCAAGGCGAAGCUCUUGAUCGAAGCCCCAGUAAACGGCGGCCGUAACUAUAACGGUCCUAAGGUAGCGAAAUUCCUUGUCGGGUAAGUUCCGACCUGCACGAAUGGCGUAAUGAUGGCCAGGCUGUCUCCACCCGAGACUCAGUGAAAUUGAACUCGCUGUGAAGAUGCAGUGUACCCGCGGCAAGACGGAAAGACCCCGUGAACCUUUACUAUAGCUUGACACUGAACAUUGAACCUUGAUGUGUAGGAUAGGUGGGAGGCUUUGAAGUGUGGACGCCAGUCUGCAUGGAGCCGACCUUGAAAUACCACCCUUUAAUGUUUGAUGUUCUAACCUGGUCCCGUGAUCCGGGAUAGGGACAGUGUCUGGUGGGUAGUUUGACUGGGGCGGUCUCCUCCCAAAGCGUAACGGAGGAGCACGAAGGUUAGCUAAUCCUGGUCGGACAUCAGGAGGUUAGUGCAAAGGCAUAAGCUAGCUUGACUGCGAGAGUGACGGCUCGAGCAGGUGCGAAAGCAGGUCUUAGUGAUCCGGUGGUUCUGAAUGGAAGGGCCAUCGCUCAACGGAUAAAAGGUACUCCGGGGAUAACAGGCUGAUACCGCCCAAGAGUUCAUAUCGACGGCGGUGUUUGGCACCUCGAUGUCGGCUCAUCACAUCCUGGGGCUGAAGUAGGUCCCAAGGGUAUGGCUGUUCGCCAUUUAAAGUGGUACGCGAGCUGGGUUUAGAACGUCGUGAGACAGUUCGGUCCCUAUCUGCCGUGGGCGUUGGAAGAUUGAGAGGGGCUGCUCCUAGUACGAGAGGACCGGAGUGGACGCACCGCUGGUGUUCGGGUUGUGAUGCCAAUUGCAUUGCCCGGUAGCUACGUGCGGAAGAGAUAAGCGCUGAAAGCAUCUAAGCGCGAAACUUGCCUCGAGAUGAGUCUUCCCUUGGACCUAGAGUCCACUAAAGGAACGUUUAAGACUAAGACGUUGAUAGGCUGGGUGUGUAAGCGUAGCGAUACGUUGAGCUAACCAGUACUAAUGAUCCGUGAGGCUUAACCUU
rnacentral:rRNA from 1 species